AAUUCUGCUCGAUUACCAUAUUUUUGUGUGCUAUUGCCCACGCCUUUCGAGUGGGCCGGGCCACCGGUCUCGGAUCGCCUAAAAAAUUUUCGGGCCAUCAAUUAAGACCUAAGGAACCAUAGUCACCGCCUCGCCAUGAUCGUUCCUCAUUUUUUGCAUUUUUUGGUCAAAAAACUAAAAUUCUGCCCGAUUCCCAUAUUUUUGUGUGCUAUCGCCCACGCCUUCCGAGUGGGUCGGGCCCCCCGGAGCCGGAUCGCCUAAAAAUUUUCCGGACUAUCAAAUACGACCUAAGGAACCAUAGUCACCGCCCGCCAUGAUCGUUCCUAGUCUUUUGCGUUUUUCAGCCAAAAAACUAGAAUUUGCGCGAUUUCCAUAUUUUCGUGUGCUUUAGCCCACGUCUUCCAAGGGGUCCCGGGAACCCCGAACCCCGAUCGCCUAAAAAUUUUUCGGGCCAUCAAAUACGACCUAAGGAACCAUAGUAACCACCCCGUUUCGGACAUGCUCCUAAGUCCAAAAUUACCAUACGGAGCUAUUGGAAUCAUCAAAAUUCAAAUCCGAGGUCAUUUACACAUAGGUCCAUAUCCGGUCCACUUUUCUAACUUAAAACUUUCAAUUAUGAGACUAAGUGACUCAUUUCAUUCUGAA
rnacentral:lncRNA from 1 species